CACAUGCAAAGUUAAAGGCAUGGUGACCUGUACAGGACUGUGCUGUUUAGAAUAGAAGGAACAAAAUGGGAAAUUCCAGACUAUCAAAUUUGCUUGGCCAAAUGUUCAAAAGCAGCACAAACAGACCUUAACUGGCCCUGGGUAGGGGAAGGAGGAUCCCGAGGGAGCUCACAGUAUUGGGAGAGAGAUCUCUGAGGAGCGUACCAAUCCAUUACUGCUUUUCUUGGGGAUAGGUAUCUGGAGGAGACAUUUUCCAGGCAGACAUCUAGAGGAGAAGAAAGCUGGACUGUGGAAGCUACCCAAGUGCCUGACACAAACCCAGAUGCCAGCCUACAGAUGACGUCAAGGGGAGAACUGGCAGAAGGUUUUGCUAAUUACUCACAGGAGAUUUUAAUCCUGGCUGCCUAACAAAUGGGGAUCAAAAUCUAAGUUCAUAUU
rnacentral:lncRNA from 1 species